rnacentral:rRNA from 1 species
GACAGAGGGGGCAAGCGUUGCUCGGAAUUAUUGGGCGUAAAGGGCGCGUAGGCGAUUCGAAAAGUCAACUGUGAAAGCCCAGGGCCUAACCCUGGAAGUGCAGCUGAUACUGUUGAAUUUGAGUUCCGGAGAGGAAGGCAGAAUUCCCGGUGUAGCGGUGAAAUGCGUAGAUAUCGGGAGGAAUACCAGUGGCGAAGGCGGCCUUCUGGACGGAUACUGACGCUGAGGCGCGAAAGCUAGGGGAGCAAACGGG